rnacentral:rRNA from 1 species
UACAUGGGGAGCGAGCGUUAUCCGGAAUUAUUGGGCGUAAAGCGUGUGUAGGCGGUUUGUUAAGUUAGAUGUGAAAUGCGACAGCUCAACUGUCGUUGGCAUUUAAAACUGGCAGACUAGAGUAUGGUAGAGGCAAGUGGAAUUCCAAGUGUAGCGGUAAAAUGCGUAGAUAUUUGGAGGAACACCAGUGGCGAAGGCGGCUUGCUGGGCCAGGACUGACGCUGAGACACGAAAGCGUGGGGAGCAAACAGG